AUUUUACAUUUCCAAAAUUUCCUGUGCUGUACAAGGUAUAGUGAGAUCUCCAUGCCAUAUGGUUUGUCCUCAGAUGAAUUGUCUAAGCUGUUCGCAGAUAGUUGGGUCUCAUCUGAUCAUAUAUGCUGGCAGACAAUCAACCUUAAUCAAAUCCAUACUAUAACUUACUUUGUUUACCUAAAUGGACGAAAGCAACUCGCAACAUCUUAGCACUGAUUUACCCAUUGUAAAGUGAAGCCUUCCAAAUUCAGCACCUAGAGAGGGAACAUGGUGUGGACAUUAAAAACUGAAACAUUAUUUUGCUGGACAAAAUGACAGCAUUUGAGCAAUGGAAAGACAAAUUGGAAGAACACGUAUGCUCUUUUACUAAAUAAAAUGGCGUGAAAAACACAACACAAAAUUACCAGUGUAACCGAAGUGGUUUGUAUGUCCCACGAGGAAA